rnacentral:rRNA from 1 species
GUUUGAACCUGGCUCAGGCAAUGCGGCUGGAUCACCUCCUUAGAGUUUGAUCCUGGCUCAGGCAAUGCGCUUGGAUCACCUCCUUAGAGUUUGAUCCUGGCUCAGGCAAUGCGGAUGGAUCACCUCCUUAGAGUUUGAUCAUGGCUCAGAUUGAACGCUGGCGGAAUGCUUUACACAUGCAAGUCGAACGAUGAACCUUAGCUUGCUAGGGGGAUUAGUGGCGAACGGGUGAGUAAUAUAUCGGAACGUACCUUGUAAUGGGGGAUAACUAGUCGAAAGAUUAGCUAAUACCGCAUACGCCCUGAGGGGGAAAGUAGGGGAUCUUCGGACCUUACGUUAUAAGAGCGGCCGAUAUCUGAUUAGCUAGUUGGUGGGGUAAUGGCCUACCAAGGCGACGAUCAGUAGCUGGUCUGAGAGGACGACCAGCCACACUGGAACUGAGACACGGUCCAGACUCCUACGGGAGGCAGCAGUGGGGAAUUUUGGACAAUGGGCGCAAGCCUGAUCCAGCCAUUCCGCGUGAGUGAAGAAGGCCUUCGGGUUGUAAAGCUCUUUCGCAAGGGAAGAAAACUUACACAAUAACACUGUGUGAGGCUGACGGUACCUUGAUAAGAAGCACCGGCUAACUACGUGCCAGCAGCCGCGGUAAUACGUAGGGUGCGAGCGUUAAUCGGAAUUACUGGGCGUAAAGCGUGCGCAGGCGGUUUUGUAAGUCAGAUGUGAAAUCCCCGAGCUCAACUUGGGAACUGCGUUUGAAACUACAGACUAGAAUAUGUCAGAGGGGGGUAGAAUUCCACGUGUAGCAGUGAAAUGCGUAGAGAUGUGGAGGAAUACCAAUGGCGAAGGCAGCCCCUGGGAUAAUAUGACGCUCAUGCACGAAAGCGUGGGAGCAAACAGGAUUAGAUACCUGGUAGUCACGCCUAAACGAUGUCUACUAGUUGUUGGUGGAGUAAAAUCCAUGAGUAACGCAGCUAACGCGUGAAGUAGACCGCCUGGGGAGUACGGUCGCAAGAUUAAAACUCAAAGGAAUUGACGGGGGCCCGCACAAGCGGUGGAUUAUGUGGAUUAAUUCGAUGCAACGCGAAAAACCUUACCUGGCCUUGACAUGCCACUAACGAAGCAGAGAUGCAUUAGGUGCUCGAAAGAGAAAGUGGACACAGGUGCUGCAUGGCUGUCGUCAGCUCGUGUCGUGAGAUGUUGGGUUAAGUCCCGCAACGAGCGCAACCCUUGCCAUUAAUUGCCAUCAUUUAGUUGGGCACUUUAAUGGGACUGCCGGUGACAAACCGGAGGAAGGUGGGGAUGACGUCAAGUCCUCAUGGCCCUUACGCGCUGGGCUACACACGUGCUACAAUGGCAACUACAGUGGGCUGCAAUCCCGCGAGGGUGAGCUAAUCUCCAAAAGUUGUCUCAGUUCGGAUUGUUCUCUGCAACUCGAGAGCAUGAAGGCGGAAUCGCUAGUAAUCGCGGAUCAGCAUGCCGCGGUGAAUACGUUCCCAGGCCUUGUACACACCGCCCGUCACACCAUGGGAGUUGGUUUCACCCGAAGGCAGCGCGCUAACCGCAAGGAGGCAGCUGACCACGGUGGGAUCAGCGACUGGGGUGAAGUCGUAACAAGGUAGCCGUAGGGGAACCUGCGAAUGGAUCACCUCCU